GCAUGUAUAUAUAUAUGCUUGCUUACAAGGUUUGUCUCUCAGAGUCCUUCUCUUUGUACUCUUUUCAGCUUAAUAUAUAAACUGUCUACUUAUUUACUUCUUUUAUUGCCAUUGAUUCUAGUAGUAUUAGACUCAUUAACUUGGAUACAUUGUCUUGUAAGAGAUAGCUUAUCUCUUAACAACUGUUUGGGUCAACAAAAUUAAUGUAUAUAUGAAAACGAAUAUUGAAUUUGGAUGUCCAAUCAAUUUUUUUAAUUAAUUAAUUAAAAAGAAUUGUUUUAAUUCAAAAAAUCUAAAAGAAUUUGAUAAAAAAUGUGGAAGGGCACACUUGUAUGAUGAAUAGUAGUGAUAAUAAUGAUAGAAGUCGUUUUCCUAGCACAAGUAUGGGAUUCGUCCAUUUGGUUUUAUAUUUAUCCACUUGCCUGAGUGUUUAAGAGUUAAAAAGGACAAAACUAUUAAGUAGAAAACACCAAACGAAUUGGAAGGCUUUUGUCUUCUUCAAUUAGUAUGACCUAUAUUUCUUAUUAAACUUCGUAUUUUACAUUCAAUAUCAUCAUCGCAAUCAUUUUAAUUUAUUUUCAUGAAUAAACUUUUAUGUCCCAUUUUAAUUGAAUCAUUAAAAAUUAUUAAUUGAAUUUUUUUUAAGUCAAGUGAUACUAAUUUGAUUUUUUUAAAAAAGUUGUUUGAAUUAAUUUGAUUUCGUGUCAUAAUUGACAUAAAUGGCCAUUGUGAAUGGCAACAUCAAUAGUUAUUGAGUACAGCGGCUAAAAUUUUCAGUUAAAAAAAAAAGAAUGAAAGGAAAACAAAAAGAAAAACGUGGAAAGAAAGAAAGAAAGAAAGAAUAAUAAUAAUAAUAAUAAUAAUAAAUAAAAUAGAAUUGUGGGGGCGAUGCUUUUGAACAAAUCUUGAUUUAAACUAUAUAAAGAAAAUAUGUGUUAUAUAUAUAAUUAAUUAUGUACUUAUACUUAAUAUAUUAUAUAUCUAAUGUCAUAUUUUCAUAUUCUCAGGAAGUGGUGACAUACAAAUACUUGAUUCGAUUUAUUUCUUUAGCUCCCCGUGAAUUGUAUGUUUGUAACAUUAGGGAUAGAAUUUCUUCAAUUAUCCAAUUGACUGGACGUAUUGUGUCGAUUUUUUUUUAGUAAUAUACCUAGAAAUACCCGUUGAUUCUUUAUAAACGCUGUUUCGAACACAACUGGUACACUCUAAAAUAAUUUACUUGAACAUCAUUACUCUUAGCCAUGAACCUCCUUUGAGUUUUUAAUUCACCCAACUUUUUUAUUUUCCGAUCAAAAGCAAAGAAGAAAGGAAUGAAAAGAAAAGAAAGAAAUCAAAGUUGCUAACUCAAAACCAAAUCCUGAAAAUUUUCAUUUCAAUGAAUAUAGUAAGUAAAUAUAGAUUUAUAGUAAUAGCAAAUAAUAAGAAUUAAGUAAUAUAACGAUUUUUAAUUCUAUUUAGAAUCAAUUAAAAUAUUCAAAUAAAUAUUCAAUUAAAAUAAAUUAAACUGUAUAAAUUUUAUAAUUUUAAAUUAUUAUUUUUGUAUUAAUUUAAAAACAAAAUAAAUAUUAUAUACAAUGAUUUAGUUACAGCGUGUCAGCUUGAAGUCUAAGACUUUAUAACAUAUAAAUUUAAUAGAUAAUUAAUAACUAAAAAAUUAAAUAGCAAAAGCAUAAUUGCGCCACUUCUCACCAUUUUAAUGUAUGCAACUUAUUAUAUAUUUAUAUAUAUUAUCAUUUUAUUUUAAAUAAUUUAAUUUUAUAAAUUUAGGGAUAAAUCUCAAAAUUAUACAUGAACUUUAAUUUAAUAUGCAAUUGUAUAUAUAAACUUUAAUUUGGUACAAUUAUACACGUGAUACUUUAAUUGUGGUUUAAAUACUCACUUGAAACUUUAGUUUUGAUUUAAUAAUGCAUAUUUAAAUAAAUAAAUACAUCAAUUUUUUUAUAUUGGGUAAAUAUAAUUAUUUAUGUAUGCAAUAUAUAACAUAAAAUGAUGUUAUAUCAAUAAUUGUGUUAAUAAUUUUCAAGAAUUGGAUCAAAUCAAAAUUUCAUGUAUAAAAUUGAACAAAAUCAAAGUUAAUGUAUACAAUUGCACAUUAAACCAUAAUUCAUGUAUAUUUUUUUGUAUAUAUCCCAUAAAUUUAUUUCAUUAACUUUUUACCUAUAUCAUAUAUAGAGUUGUUCGUGAACCGAGCCAAGGAAUGCCUGCUCGAAAAAAUGAGAGGGUUUGGCAAAAAAAUAUAUGCCUAAAAAAUGGGCUUGGAUAAAAAGACAAGGCCCGUUUAGAAAAUGAACCGGCAUUGAGUAGGGUUUUUUUGUCCGGGCUCAGCCUAACCCGAAUUUUCAAUUAAAAAAAACCUUGUUGUUUUUGCUGCUAUUUUUCCAUAUCUUGGUGUUGUUUUCUCACUUUUUGCCGCUAUUUUACUACCAUUUCACUAUUAUGUUACUACUAUUUUUUUUAAUGUUUGGAUAUAGUAUAAUAAUUGUUUUAUUGUUAAUUUUAUCACUAUUUUAGAGACAUUUGUUUGUUAUGUUGUACUUAUUUUAGUUUUUAUUUAAGUAUAAAAAAAUUUAAAAUUUAUUUUCAAUUUAUUGAUAAACAUGUAAUUUAAUAUUUUCAGUGUAUUUAUUGUAUUAUAUUUGUUAAAUUUAUAUAAAAUUAAAAUUAAAAAAAUAUGGACCGAGAUGGGAGUUUAACAAAAAUUUAGGCCCAUUUUUCAAGUCGGGCCGAUCUCAAACCUAACAAUCGGACUUAAAAUUUUGUUAGAGCUCGGCCCAUCCCAUGAACAACUCUAAUUAUAUAUAUAUGUCAUUCUCUAAUAAUAAUAAUAAUAAUAAUAAUAAUAAGUGGAUAACAUAAAACUAGUAGUAAAGAGUAAGAAGACAAAGAAGAAUUAAGUGGAUAACAUAAAACGUGCGAAAACAUUUAUCUUCAAUUCUGACACAUAAAGCUAGUAUUUUUGGGUAAAGUAUAGAAAUGGUGAUUAAAUUAUUGUUGAUGUUCUAUUUUAAUUUUUAAUUUUUCUAUUUUAGUUAUUAAAUUAUUUGAAAUUAAAUUUUUUGGUUAUCAAAGGUUAACAGUAGUUUGAAAUUUAACAGAAAUAUUGAUGUGAACUUUUCUUAUUGAUUUAAUAAUAAAUUUAGCCUUCUAAUAUUUAUAUAUUCUAUUAAUUUGAUACUAAAUAUAAAAAUUUAACAAAUUUAACCUUCAAUAUUUACAAAUUUUGUUAUUUUAAUUCAAAUUCUAAAAAAAAUUUAAUAAAUUUAACCCUCAACAUUAAAAAAUUUGAUAAAUUUCAAUUUUUAAAAUUUUGUAAAUUCCUAAAAUAUAAAGCAUCAUUCUCCACCUCAUAGGAUUCCAUGUAAAUGGAUUUUCUUGAAUUCUUUACCAAGUUGUCUUGAGUUUAAUUUCUUCUUAUUUAGUUUGUGGAAUAAAUGGCAUAUAGUUAGAUGUCACUGCAGCUGACAAUGAAAGGUUUGACAAAGUUGAUAAAUUCAGAGCUUUUGAUGCUGAGCUUCAAAUCAGUCUUGCCUCCACUCACCCAAGAAAUCAACUUUACAAUUUUUAUUAAGUCUUAACUAGAUUAAUAUGAGUAUUGUUAUCAAUAUAGGAGAAAGUGAAUUUUAGUGCGUUGAAACACAUUAUCUUCUUAUUGAUGAAUUGAGGAGGGGCUAUGAAUAGUUUUAAAUAUUAUAUUAAAAAAGCAGAGAUAAUUGAAACCUACAAUAAUAUUGUUCAAAAAAAUUACCUAAAAACACGAAAUCUUACUCCCUGAAUUUUCUAGAAACACAAAUAUUUCUCCCUGCCUUUGAUGGUGUAUACAUGCAUGGCCAUGUGUGAGCUCCUGCAUUUUAACUAAUCAACACAGAUAAUACCCUCAAUGAGACAUUAAAAUUAACUUUUAUUUUUGUUUUUUCAUAAAUUUUAUAAUUUUGUAUUUCAAUGAAAAAAUCUAAAUCUAAGUUGAUCCGAGUCCAAAAAAAAAUCUGAAGCUGUAAAAAGUUUGAUCUGAGGCUGCUCAUUUGCCACCUCUAAUAACCAUUUGAUAGAGGUUUAAUAUAAAGGAAUUUAGAUUUUAGGAAUUUAUAAAAUUUUUAAAAUUAAUUUUUUAUUUGUAAAUACUAAGGGAUAAAUCUAUUGAAGUUUUUAAAAUUUGAACUGAAAUGUCAAAAUUUGUAAACAUUGAAGGCUAAAUUUGUUUAUUUUUUCUAUUUAAGACCAAUCUGAUAGAAUGUGUACACAUUAGAAGACUAAAUUUAUUAUUAGACCAAUAAAAAAAUGCCCAACUUAACGCUUUCUCAAAUUUCAAACCGAUGUUAAUAUUCAAUGACCAAAAUUUUUUAUUUCAAAUAGUUUAGUGACCAGAAUAGAAAAAAAAUUAAAAGUUUGAUGACCAAAAUAGAACGCGGAUAAUAAUUUAAUGAUAUUUUUAUACUUUAUCUGUUUUUUAUGAUUAUUUAUACAUAUCAAGUGGAGCUAAUUUAGGGAAAAGAAUCAAUGGUUAAGGUUGUUGUUGAUACUUAAUGAUCAGGGUCCAAAUUUUGCUAAUGUAAUUUUCCUUAUCAUAAUUUGUAUCUUAAUUUUGUUACCAAAAAAAUAUUAGUAAUAAAUAAUAUAUGCUCGAGAAAUGUACGUAUGAUUGAUUUAAACAAUACAUGUUGGAGUAAUUUACAUAUGGAUUUAAAAUAAAUUUUAAAAAUAAAAUAAAAUUUUAAAAAUCCAAAAGUAUUUUUUCUUUUAAAAAAAUUUAAAAAUAAUUUUUAAAUUAUUUACAUGAUUGAUUUAAAGGAUUUCUUUCUAUUAAUUAUUUUUAUAUUAAAUUUAUUUUCCUUUAUGUAUAACAUUUAAAGGGUUUGUAUAUAUGCUAACUCGCGAGUCAAUUAAAAUUUGUAUUAUAUUCAUUGAAUUUUUUUAAAAUAUAUAUUUUAUUAAUUUAUUUAUUUAUUUGAGACCCAUGAUAAACUUGUAUUUAAAGUUAUUGGUGCACACUAUAAAUUCAUAUAUUGAAAAUGAUAGGUGCUAAAAGUAACAUGUUUUAGUCUCAUUCUUAAUGUGUUUUUGGAUGAUUAUUCGAUAUAAAAUGGUUAAUUUUAUGCUACUAAACUUUUCAAUUUACGUUCUACACUUAAUAGAGCAUUUAGGAGCAAAAGAAGCGAAAAACGAGCGAAAAUAAAAAAAAUAGGAGCAAGUCUCAAAAGCCACACAGGCUGAGCCAUUCCACACGGGUUGGACACAUAACCGAGUGAGCCACACGACCAUGUGCUAGACUGUGUGGAAAUCGCAAAUUACACUCCAAACGGCGUGAAAACACGUUAAUUUUAAGGUUUUUUAAGCAUUUUAAUACCUAUACAUGACAAAGAUAAGAAGAGGGGAGAGAGUCGUCAGAAAAUAUUAAAGAAAACAACUUAAAAAACACCAUUGAAGCUAACUUUGAAGCAAAUUUUCAUCAAGAUUGAAGAUCUCAUUUUGAUUUUUUUGAAGUUUAUUAUGAGUUUCUUUAUUUAUUGUAGUUAUACUGUCUUUAGGAUGUUUUUAUUUGCUAUCAUGAACGAAUUUUCUAAAUACCUAGGGAGAUGAAUCCUAUCAUGAAUUAUGUUAUUUGAUUUCUAUUUUUACGUAAUAAAGACUUAGAUCUUAUUCUCAAUUAUGUGUGCUUAAUUCUUGGUUUAAUAUUUCUAGACUAUUAAUCAAUGUUUGAUGUGCUUAAAUCAGAGGAGGAAUAAACCCUAUUUAAGAGUAGAUCUAGCGUAAAUGAGUGGAGUUGCAUGCAAUCCUAGAAAUAGGACAACAUAAAUCUACCGUAAUAGAUCCAAAUCUAAUAGGGGAAUCUAUAGAUCGAGUUAAUACGAUGAUAGAGGUUUUAAUUAGAAAUAAAUUUCAGUUAAUUAACCUAGAGUCAGUUACUCUUAGUCUUGAAGAGAUAUAUUAGCAUAAUUUAGGGAUUUUUACAGAUCAAUAUUCUAAGUGACGAAGUUGUGUAAUAUAGAUUGAUAAUGACAUAUGAAGUCUAGGUAGAUUCUUUCCUAGGUAUUGUCUCGCUCUUGGUUAUUAUUUGAUUAUUUUCUUGAUUUGUGCUUUGUUGUGUUAUUUAGUUAACUAAUUUAGUUAAUUUUAGUUCCAACCAAUCACUCCAAUUUAUCAGUUAAAUAAUAGAAAAGACGGUAAUUACUGGUACUUUUAGUCUUUGUGAAAACGAUAUCUUUGCUCACUAUAACUAUACUAUUAAUUGAUGUGCACUUGUCUGAGUUAGAUUUUUAGUUGGUUUACGACUGCAAUCAAAAAACUCAUUAAGUUAGCACAAACUAAGUUAAUUAUUCGUUGGUUGCUUUAUUUUUUUUCCUGAAGUUUCGAUUUCAUCUUUCAUUAUGUACAACAAUUUUGGUAUAAAAAUAUCAAAUUCUCGACACUUAAUAUAUACCUUUGAAAUAUAAACACAUGCAUCAAUUUUUUUAGGUUCCUCACAACUUACUUGUCCAAAAUUCUUGUAUCUUUCAGUUCUCCUGAUUGAAUCAAAAUUUGACUUUGUAAUUAUUUUUUAAGGACCUCAAACUAUCAAUUUAUAGUAUAAAUUUUCAAUAGCUUUCAUUCUUUACAAAUUGGUCCCUAAUUAAUCAACAAUGGUAUUAAAGCUUAAGCUUAGGGUCCCGUUGUUUCACUGAAAAUGGCUUUCGAAAAAUAAUUUCUAGAAAAUGACUUACUUUCCUAGAAAAGUUAAUAUUUUCUGAUGUUUGGAUGAAUCAGUGUAAAAUAUUUUAUAUUGUUUGACAAAUUUCUUAAAAAUAUUUCAUAAAAGCUGUUUUCAAUGAAACAAACAUGCAUUUGAGAUUUUCUUAUCUUUUCAUUGUUUAAUUAAGUUUAUCUUAUAUCUAUAAAUUUAUAUUUUACAUUUUUUUGCAUAUAAUAAAAAUAUAUAUUUUUUAAUUCAGGUUCACUACCAUGUCACUUUUUAGUUACAUGACUACCAAGUGAGUAUUUUUUUUAUUUAAAAAUGUGACAUCAACAAAAUUGACAAAAAAAAAAUUUAGCAAUGUCAACAAUUGGACUUGAUUUUCAAAUCUGAAAAGUAGAGGGACUAAAUUCUUGAAAAUAAAAGUAUAGAGACUAAAUUGAAAAUUUGUGAAGAAUACAUAGACUUAUCACAUUUUUUAACUUUUAUACUACAAAAUAUUUAUCAUUAAUAUAUUUAUAAUUAUAAUAAAUAUUUAUUAUUAAAAUAUUAAUAUUAAAUAUUUUCAAUAAGAAGAAUAUUAUUUAAAAUUAUUUUUUUUAAUUUUUUAUUAAAAUAAAAUUGAAAUAUUAAAUAAUUUAUUAAAAUAAUUAAUUUUAUUAAUAAUUAAUUUUAUGACUAAAUAUAAAUAAUUAAAUAUGUGUGUUUAAUAAUAUUGAAAUAUAUAAUAUUUUAUAUUAAUAUUUUAAAUAUUUUUAAAAAUAAAAAUAAAAUUUAUUUUCAAUAUAAUAAUAUUAAUAUUGAUUUAAAUGAAUUUUUAUAUAAAAAUAAAAUUACCUAUAGAUGAGCUCUUUUCCAGAAAAUGACUUACACUUUUCAAAAGGAUAAGUCAUUUUAUAGGAAAAAGAGUUCAAUUUUACAUUGACCUGUAAGUCAUUUUCCGAUGACCAAAAUGUUUUCUGUAAAAUAAACAUAAGAAAAUGAAGAAAAUAUUUUCCGUAAAACCUUUUACAUGUAAACAAACGGACCCUUAAUUCAAGCUUGUUCUAACAUAACCCACUUCACUAUUAGCAUGACUCUUCCUUAUACUAUGUUUAACCAUUAACCCUUCUCAUGAUUUCUAACAAAAAUUCUCUAAGUUCUCUUUAAUGGAAACUUCUAUUAGCUUCAACAAUAAGAAAUUCUAACCAUUGGGUUGGUUGUAUCAAGUUUCAUAGUUUAAAAAACUAUAAAAAAAUUAUUUAGAAAACAAUUUGUUUACCUUUGAUGGCCUUGAUGGAGAACAACUUGGUUUCUUCUUCUACUUAGUUUAAAGAAUGCAUGAAGAAGAAGAAGAUUUCCCCUCUCCCUCUAUCUUAAAUAUAUAUAUAAAUAACCUAUUAAUCAAGGUAAUUAACUCACUAAUUAAUCUUAAUUAGUUAUGAUCUAAUGGCCAUAAACUUACCAUAAGAAAAUUAGUGGAAAUGUGUGGCAUUGAUAAUGGUUUGCCAAUAAUCAAACUUCGGGCAUGGUAAUAUUGCAAUCAGGUCCUUGGUUUAAUUACACUUUAAGUACUUGCUAAAUUCUCUAAUCAAUUCCCACUAGUUGGAUCACUUGAACAAUUGGGUCCAUGUAUUAUAGUUACAACUUAUCUAAUUUAAUCAAUUAAUGAUUUGACUUUAUAAUUUCAUGUGCAACACACAAACUCCUCCGGUAAAUUCUCAAGCUAGCUUUAUUUAAAAAUUUGGCCUCAAAACCAGCUUUCCAAAUGUUCAUGAAAAUUGAGUUGUUACAUUAUGGUAUUUGUUUUGUUCAGCUUAUUUGUCAAGCUCUAUUCCUUUGAACUUAUGUUCGUUGACUUUGGUGUUGCUUAAAUGAAAAUGUGGUGAACAAUAUUAUGGAUAGGAGGAGUGUAUGAUUGAGUAUGUGUAACACCCCUAACCCACAUCCUUCGCCAAAUUAAAGUGACAGAGUGUUAUUAUUCAAAACAGAACAUUCCAUGACAACACAUAAACAAUUAUGCAAAUUAUCACAAUCAUUAAUUAACCAUAUUAAAAUAUAACAUAAGUAUCCAUACGACCUUUAAAUCGAGCUUAUAUGGCCUUAAAAAUAGCUUGGGAUCAAUCUAGGAUCAAUUUGGAACAUAACAUAAAUUUUAAGAAAAAUCUAAAAAUUUUGGGAAACAUGGGUCACACAACCGUAUGUCCAGGCCGUGUGACAUAGCCCAGACCUUGUGGGAAUUCAAAAUCAGGACACUCAAUCAUGUCCUAGCCCGUAUGUCUACCUGUGUGAAUAUUUGAAAUAGGGUCCCACAGUCGUGUCGCGGCCAUGUGCUAAACCGUGUAUAUAUUCAAAUUAUGAACACAUGGCCGUGUCGCAAGCCAUGUGCUAGACCGUGCUCAAAACUAUUUUGAGACACACAGCUGUGCCUUAGGCUGUGUGAAAUUUUCACUUUAGACAACGACACACAGCCGUGUGCCAGACCAUGUACACCAAAAUGUACCUUAAAAAUCAAAUUUACCAAAACAUGUUUACUUAGGCAUCAAGCAACCUAAUUACCAUCAAUCAAACUCAUUCAAAACACAAUUAAACAGGUUCAAAACAUCCAUCCUAAGUGCCUAGCCAUUGUGCCCUCAUUGACAUCAUAAUUCAAUAAUCAAAUCAAUCACAUUUAAACCAAGAUUUAAACAUUCAAAUUAUAAAAUCAUCAUUAACCAUUCAUACCAAAACACUGAUCAUUUCAAGUCAUAAACACCUAGCAAUAUUCACAUACUUUAUAAAGCUUAACUACCAAUACCAAAUAAGAUCCAUACACACAUACAUACCAAACAAAACACAUAUUCACAAGUAUCAUUCAAGAUUUACAACUUUACAUGUAAUUAACAUAAUUUCAAGUCAAUUAUUACAUGUCAUACAACCCAAAACAAACACUAAACAAACUACCAAUAGUUUCUCGAAUAGUGUGAUUCUUGAAAUCAAAUUGAUCACCCGAAGCGUCAAAAAUAAAUCUACAAGAAAGCAUUGGAAGAGACACAAGAGUAAGCUUACUUAAGCUUAGUAAUUUCCAUGGAUUUAAACAAUCAACUUACCGGAUAAACUUAUCUAAUAUAGAGUAUAGAAAAGUCAUAAAUCAUAAUCAUGUCAUCCAUAAUCAGAUCACGAGUGAGUCUUAAACUUAAAUAUGAAUGAAUUAAUUCAAUCAAUUACAUUAUAUCACUAAAUUAUACCCGAUGAACGUUGCAAUGGAUUUGGAUACACAGUUAACCAACCAAACACUCCAAAUCACUCAAAUGAGCUAGCCAUCUGAAAGUACACAUGGGCACCAAGUGCCAAGCCCAUAGGCUAACAUCCCUCCGAAACACACCUUGUCACCAAGUGCCAAGCCCGUAAGCUUUACAUCUGCCCCAGAAACACACCUGAAGCACUGCAAUAUAACGUAAUAGUUCGCAACAAAUGUUGAACUUCAAUAUAUUCAAUAAACAUGAAUAAGAUCAGAAUCAUCAUCUCCACAUCCACCAAUCUCGUAAAGCGCACGAUAUAACUUAUUGACAUGCCAAUUGUAUCCUAUCAUACAUUCAUCGGCUCACAUAUUUGUCAUUUAACAACAUUUAAUACAAUUUCUUUCCCAAAUCAUUUCACUUACCACAAUUCAAUACUUCCAUGUCAUUUAAUAAUUUCAAUCCACAAGUAAUUAAAUAUUUAAAUUAUACUAAAAUUAAACUGUACAAACUCACUAGGGCCAAAUUGCAGAAACAACAAAAGUUCAGGGACUAAUCAACAACCUUCCCUUUUUCCACAAUUAUCAACUUGAUCUUGAUCUAUAAUAUAAUUUAUUUCAAUUAUUAGCCUCAAUUUUCAUAUUCUAAUCAUUUCAAAACAUAUGAUCUCUUAUUUAUAAAUUUACACAUUUAUCCCAAAUUUUUACAUAUUAUACAAUUUAAUCCCUAUGACCAAAUCAAGCUUAGUUCUACAAUUAAAUUCUCAAUCCAUAGAACUAAAUUUUAACCACAUCCAAAACAAUCCAUAUAUGCUAAAAUUUUCAAGAGUAACAUGUCUAUUUCAGUUAAAUCACUAAACAUCAAAUUUUGUAAAAAUCACUUACAAACUCAAUACAUAUGGUCACCAAGCUUCAACCCAAACUAUUUACUACUACAAAUCUUCGAAAAUUUCAAUACAUAAUUUCUAUACUUUGAUAACUUCACAAAUAAACUCCAAAACUAGCUAAAUUCCAUUAUCAAUAGCUCAAAACUUAAAAUUUGAUGAUGAAUAAACCAAGAAAAUACUUACAUGCAUUAAAAACUAACAAAAACCAAGAUCCAAGCCUUAGAACAAUGGUGUUUCGGCCAAACCUAAGAAAAAUAAAGAAGAUGACCACUACCCCACUUUUGUUUUACUUUCCUUUUAUUAUUAUAAUAAUCUUUAUUUAUGAAAUUAUAACAUUAUAAAACACCAAUUUAAUUUUUUUUCUCUCUUUACCGCCCAUAUUAACUAACUAUGGGCUAAUGGCAACAUAACCUCCCUUAGUUUACUAAUUUAAGCUAUUAUAUUAAAAUAAAUCUAUAAUAAGCAACUUUUCCACCUAUUACAUAUUAAUCUUUUUUCUUUAAUCAAUUCACUAUACGUUAAAUUUUCUAAACCAAAACUUAAUACGACACUGAUGACUUUGUAAAUAUUAAAUAAUUAAUAAUUCUAGACUGACACGUCGAAAGUGUAGUCCUAAAACUAUUAUUUUCGACACCACUGGAAAUCGAACUGUUAUAGUAUGAUUCUACCUCUUAGGGGGAGACGUAUUCUAGUUUCCUUUGACUUGUUUAGAUGAUGUGUUAAUCAUUUGCUACUGGUUUUGUCAAAAUGCCAAAUGGUGAGAUUGUUUCAAACUUUGUUCAUGUUCGAACAUUAGAUUAAACAAUGCUUAAUUUGAUGCAUUCAAAGAAUUUAUGUUGGCAUGUUUGACUUUAUAAUGAAAUGGCUUAUGAUUUAAUCUCGUUGAGUAGCAAAUGGGGAAGUGAUUUUGUGUUAUAACAUGUGAUGAUCAUUAUCUUUCAAUCAACUACCUUGAAGAAGAAUGGGAGGAGUUUGAACUUUUGUGGACUUUCGUAAUAUUUGAAGCUGCUAAGAUACUUGUUUAUAAAGACUUUUAUGAUAUAACUAAUCAAAAUAAUUCAUGUCAGAAUUUUUGGAGUUUUAAACUUAUGAAGACUCUAGUAUUGGCCUAUAAAUAGGCAUAAUUACCGCACAUUGAAAAUAGGCUUUUGGAGGGUUUAAGUUGGAUGCUUUGGUGAAUUUUUCCUGUGUUUUAUACAACACUCUUUUUUAAGUUUUUAUUGGGGGAUAUUUGCUUGAUUGUAAGUGAGAUAUUUUGGAGAGAGUGAUUUGUAAUAAUUUAGGUUCAAUAUUGAAGUUGCAAAUAACUACAAGGUAAUGGUAAUUUGGACUCUAGUCAAUAGUUAAUCAAGACGAAUUGUAAAUAAAAAUUAUUUUUUAAGUGAAACUUUACAGAAUAAAACUAGUGAACUCAAACUACGCUAACAAAUAUUAUAUACUAUCUUUCCUUACUUUACUCGUUGCUUUACCUUAUUUUAAAAUUGCUUUGUCAUAAAUGUAUUAUGUUUGACCCUUUCCGAUCGAAAUAAAAAAAUGAGAUUGAAAUUGUGAUAAAGCUAAAAAAAAGUUACAACAAAUAUGAUUAAUAUUAUUUUUAUAUAUACUUACUAAAAUUUAAAAAGGAAUUACAUUUAUCGAAUAUUAUUUUAUUUAAUAAAUAUAAUUAAUAUAUUUUAUAUAAAAUUUAAACUUUUUAUUAUUUGUUAGCUAAAUUUUAUUAUUUUUAUUUUCUUUAUGAAUAAAAUUAAUUUUCCUAAAAUUUGAGAUAAAAAAAUGUUAUAUAGAAAAUUAAAUUAGUAAAAAGUGCAGUUCAUACUUUAUAAUUAUUAUAAAUGAAAAAAUAUUAUAAAAGAUAAAUAUUAAACAUAAAAAAAUCAAUUCUAAAAUAAACUUAACUAUUAUAAUAAAAUAUUUUUAUAUAAAAAAGAAAUUAUAGAAAAGACUUACUGAUUAUAUUUCCAAUUUUCGACAUUCAUAAAAAAAAAGUGGUCCUAAUAAUUUAUUUAUACAAAAAAAAAAGUGGUCCUAUUAAUUAACCUCACAUUUGAAAUGUGUUAUAUGUAAUAAUAUUAAUAUCUUUAUCAAUUUUGGAGGUUCAUCCUUUCCCAUCUCUAUAAAUUCGCAUGGAGAAAUAAAGCAAUACAUCAACACAAUCUGUAUAACCAUGAAAACCACAACAGCUUCAGUGUUUCUUCUUUUCAUCAUCUUCUCAGUCACACCAUCAUCCUUUUUGUUUGGUGUAGCCAACGCUACAAACGAACCUGUACUCGACUUUGAUGGCAACGAGGUUCAAACAGGCACCCCAUAUUACGUUGUGUCGUACAUAUGGGGUGCUGGUGGUGGGGGGCUUGACCUAGGCAGGCCUAGUGGAAACCCAUGCCCGGAAGUCGUUGCUCAAAGAGGAUCCGGUGACAAUGGUAUUCCGGUGAUAUUUUCUAAUUCGGACUCCAACGAUGGCGUUGUUCGCCUAUCCUCUGACAUAAACAUAGAGUUCAUUUCCCUCAGACCCAAACUUUGCCGAACAACAACAGUGUGGAAGGUCGAUGAUUACGACCAUUCAGCCGGAAAAUGGUGGGUGAUAACCGAUGGGGUUAAAGGGAACCCAGGUGCCAACACUUUGACCAGUUGGUUUAGAAUAGAGAAGGUGGGUACUGAUUUUCAAUAUUACACAUUUAAGUACUGCCCCGCAGUAUGUGGAACAUGCCCAGCCUUAUGCAACCAAAUUGUGAGAGACUUUGAUGGAGAAAUGGUACGUUUGGCUCUCACCACUGGCCAUGGAUGGCCAUUUAUCUUUAAGAAAGUUGGAAAAUCAGCCAUGGAGAUUGAACAAGUUGUUCAUAAUUAGAUUGAAAGCAAUCAUUAUGCAUGAACUAGUAGUUACUACAUAAUAUUAGCUUCAAGUAAAUAAUGCUGAGGGAACUUAUUGUUAAGAUUGCCUUGUUUGAAGCGGCAGCAUGUAUAUAUAUAUGCUUGCUUACAAGGUUUGUCUCUCAGAGUCCUCCUCUUUGUACUCUUUUCAGCUUAAUGAAUAAACUGUUUACUUAUUUACUUCUUUUGUUGCCAUUGAUUCUAGUAGCAUUCGACUCAUUAACUUGGAUACAUUACCUUGUAAUUAACCAAAAAGUUAUGUGUAUAUAUAUAAAGAGUGUGUGAGAGAAAAAAUAGAAUACCAAGUACCAAGUGAAAAAUGUUAAUACUAGGAUUAUUCAAAGCGAUUUCAAUGAACAGAAAUGGAAUAGUCGUCGGGUGGUUAGGGCAUUUUAUCUUUAGAGAUAAAGAAGGUUGGUUCAUGUUCGGAGUUUGUGGCUACUCCUUCAAUAAUAUCGUUUUUAAAGUUUAAACUUGUAUCACAUUUUAAACACGUAAUGUAUCUUACCAUUACAUCCAACAAUAUUAACCAUUUACUCUAUUGUAUUGUAUUGUAUUCUAUUAUUAAUUAAUGAUUAUGAUAUGUAUUAAGUUUAAGAUGAAUUUUCUCAGUAAUAUAUAUCAAUGGAAUCAAAUAUUUGUAUUUAAAGUUUUAACUCCACAUUAACUUUUUCUUUAUUUUGUCCGUUUGCUGGCGAUGAUUAGGAGAUUAAUGGUUGGUAUUUGUGGUUAGUAGGUUAUAACUCAAUAGUGAACUCGAGGGUUGAUAGUGGCCCGACUCCACUUAAAUAAAAAAUUUUACAUUUAAAUCUCUUUAUAAUUUAUAAAAUUUUAAAUUAAUAAUAAAAAAAUUAUAUUUUAACUCUCUAAAAUUAAUAAAAAUGAUAAAAAUGUAGAAGUAAAUUUAUACAAUUAAUGAUAAUAAUGAUAAGAAGUUGUUUCCUGUCACAUGGAAAUUUAUGGCAUCGUCCAUUUGGUUUUAUAUUUGUCCAUUUGCUUGGUUAAGAGUUGAAAGACAAACUAUAAUUAAGUAUACAAAACCAAACGAAUUUCAAGGGUUUUCUCUUCAAUUAUUGUCGAAUUUAGCUAAUUAUUAGUAAUUUUUAUUAUUUAAUUAUAAAAAUUAUAAAAUAAUGACUUAAUUAUAAGAAUUAUAAAAUAGUGACUUAAUUAUAAAAAUAUAUAUAAAUAGCCAUCUAAUUAUUUAAUUUUUUUUCUUUUUUAUCAUCACCGGAUUAAUGGUGGUAAUUUUUAUAAUUGACAUAAUAGUAACUUUAACCAUUAAUAAUUAUACAUUAUGUCAAUUUAGUCUUGAUUCUAAAAAAUUUAACCUUUGACAUUUACACAUAUAUAAUUUGACAUUUUUAUAAUUUUAUUUUUUACUAAAAAUAAAUCAUGAAAAUAAUAAAAUAUGCAUAAAAAUAAAAAUACAGCUACCGAGUAUAUGUCUUAAUGUAGAUUUAUAACAAUUAUCUUUUCAUAAAGAUAUUUUAUUAUAAAAUAUAUAAUAAGCACUUCCCUGUAACAAAUAAAAUUGUAGUAAACAAAUGAAAUUAUUAUAAAGAAGAAUUUUCUAUUUUCAUAAUAAUAAUAAUAAUAAUAAUAAUAAAAGAAAAGAAAAAAGUGGUUCUAUUAAUUCACCUCACAUUUGAAAUGUGUUAUAUGUAAUAAUAUUAAUGUCUUUAUCAAUUUUGGUGGUUCAUCCUUUCCCAUCUCUAUAAACACUACACCAGAAUAGGUUUUUAGCGGCGUUUUUUAGGCCUUUAGCGACGCUUAUUAACGCCACUAAAUCUAUUUCCGGCACUUACAAAAAAAAGCCGCUAAAGAUCAUGUUCUUUAGCGGCGCUUAGGAAAAAACGCCGCAAAAAAUCAUGUUCUUUAGCGGCGCUUAGAAAAAAACGCCGCUAAAGAUCAUGUUCUUUAACGGCGCUUAGAAAAAAACGCCGCUAAAGAUCAUGUUCUUUAGCGGCGCUUUGGAAGAAAACACCUCUAAAAGUAAUGUUCUAUAGCGGCGCUUGUUCAAAAACGCCGCUAAAAGUAGUGUUCUUUAGCGUCGCUUGUUUCACAAACGCCACUGUUUUGAUAUGACUUUUAGCGGCGCUUUUUUAAAAAAUGUCACUAAUUUUGGGAUUUUUUUAAAAUAAAAUUUUCUGUUUUUUUCAGCCCUCCUGCAACAACAAAUCAAAAGCAACCAGAUCUAAACUAACCAAAAAUAAUAAAUUUAUAUAAUAUUUCAAAUUAAAUGAAUAAAAUAAUAUUAAUUGAUAUAAAUAAAAGUGAAUUUCAGACUUUUCUUUACAAAAACGUUAAAAGUAUUUAUGCAACAUACACUAUGACGGCGGAAGUUGCGACUGCUGAAACAUCUUCAUCAUAAUCUAAAGCUGCUGUUGAAGUUCGUCGUACUUUUUGCUCUACUUUGCUUCUCUCGAUGCCGCAUCUUUUUGAAGCCGUAGCUGUAGUUCUUCACAUUUCUUUUGAACCUCUGCUUCUAUCGCUGCUUAUCUCGCUACGGCAUCUGCUUCCCUCACUGCUGCCUCUGAUUUAAGUUGUUGCUGAAGUUCUUCAUAUUUCCUUUGAACCUCAAAUGUGGUCGCUUGCAUCUGAGUCAUCUAGUCUUUUAACCUCUGAACUUCAGCUUGAGACUGACUCCCCGAAGCCAUGUAUUGGUGCGAGCUGGAUCCAAAAUAUUGGGUUGGGCUGAUAAAAGAUCCUUGAAAUCGAACCCGACCAUACUUUUCAGGACCCAAAACUUUAGUAAUAAUCCGGUUAUCAAUGUCUUCAAGAUGAAUAGAACUAUCACUAGAAGCAAUCGUUUCGUACUCUGUCUUUUUUUCCUUCAGUUUUUCCUAAUAAAUAAAUCACAUAGUUAGGAACGCAAUAUAUAGUAAAAAAAACAAAUGCAAUAUAACAAUAGUCGCAUUACAAGCAAUGAAUUAAACCAUUAGAAAAUAAACACUAUAAAUAACUAAAACAAGUGAAAUCGUAUUAAGUAAACGUACCAUAAUUUCACCAGCUUCAGGAGUCAUAGCAGAUCCAUCUUUCUUCUUAUGUGUAAUUUCAAAAAGUUGAAGGCGUCCAACUUUUUGAUCGGACGACCGUUCCUACAACACUCUUUUUUAAGUUUUUAUUGGGGGAUAUUUGCUUGAUGUAAGUGAGAUAUUUUGGAGAGAGUGAUUUGUAAUAAUUUAGGUUCAAUAUUGAAGUUGCAAAUAACUAUAAGGUAAUGGUAAUUUAGACUUUAGUCAAUAGUUAAUCAAGACGAAUUGUAAAUAAAAAUUAUUUUUUAAGCGAAACUCUACAGAAUAAAACUAGUGAACUCAAACUACUGAACUCAAACUACGCUAACAAAUAUUACAUAUUAUCUUUCCUUACUUUACUUGUUGCUUUACCUUAUUUUAAAAUUGUUUUGUCAUAAAUGUAUUAUGUUUGAACCUUUCCGAUCGAAAUAAAAAAAAUGAGAUUGAAAUUGUGAUAAAGCUAAAAAAAGGUUACAACAAAUAUGAUUAAUAUUAUUUUUAUAUAUACUUAAUAAAAGUUAAAAAGGGAAUUACAUUUAUUGAAUAUUAUUUUAUUUAAUAAAAUAUAAUUACUAUAUUUUAUAUAAAAUUUAAAUAUUUUAUUGUUUGUUAGUUAAAUUUUAUUUUUUUUUAUUUUCUUUAUGAAUAAAAUUAAUUUUCCUAAAAUUUGAGAUAAAAAAUGUUAUAUAGAAAAUUAAAUUAGUAAAAAGUUAAAAAAAUCAAUUCUAAAAUAAACUUAACUAUUAUAAUAAAAUAUUUUUAUAUAAAAAAAAAGAAAUUAUAGAAAAGACUUAUUGAAUAUAUUUCCUAUUUUCGACAUUCAUAAAAAAAAAAAAGUGGUCCUAAUAAUUUUUUUAUACAAAACAAAAAAAAGUGGUCCUAUUAAUUUACCUCACAUUUGAAAUGUGUUAUAUGUAAUAAUAUUAAUAUCUUUAUCAAUUUUGGAGGUUCAUCCUUUCCCAUCUCUAUAAAUUUGCAUGCAGAACUAAAGCAACACAUAUCAACACAAUCUGUAUAACCAUGAAAACCACAACAGCUUCGGUGUUUCUUCUUUUCAUCAUCUUCUCAAUCACACCAUUGUCCUUUUCGUUUGGUGUGGCCAACACUUCAAACGCUCCUGUGCUCGACAGUGAUGGCAACGAGCUCCGCACAGGCACCCCAUACUUCGUUGUGUCGUCGAUAUGGGGUGCUGGUGGUGGGGGGCUUGCCCUAGGCAUGCCUAGAGGAAAGCCAUGCCCGGAAGUCGUUGCUCAAAGAGGAUCUGGUGACGAUGGUAUUCCGGUGAUAUUUUCUAAUUCGGACUCCAACGAUGGCGUUGUUCGCCUAUCCUCUGACAUAAACAUAGAGUUCAUUCCCCUCAGACCCAGAUUUUGCCAAACAACAACGGUGUGGAAGGUCGAUGAUUACGACCACUCAGCCGGAAAAUGGUGGGUGAUAACCGAUGGGGUUAAAGGGAACCCAGGUGCCAACACUUUGACCAGUUGGUUUAGAAUAGAGAAGGCGAGUCAUCUUGAUUACACAUUUAAGUACUGCCCCGCAGUAUGUGGAACAUGCCCGGCUUUAUGCAACAAAAUUGCGAGAGACUUAGAUGGAGAAAUGAUGCGUUUGGCUCUCUCCACUGACCAUGGAUGGCCAUUUUUCUUUAAGAAACUUCAAACAUCAGCCAUGGAGAUUGAACAAGUUGUUCAUAAUUAGAUUGAAAGCAAUCAUUAUGCAUGAACUAGUAGUUACUAUACAAUAUUAGCUUCAAGUAAAUAAUGCUGAGAGAACUGAUUGUUAAGAUUGCCUUGUUUGAAGCAGAAGCAUGCAUAUAUAUAUGCUUGCCUACAAGGUUUGUCUCUCAGAAUCCUCUUUGUACUCUUUUCAGCUUAAUAUAUAAACUGUCUACUUAUUUACUUCUUUUAUUAAUGUCAUUGAUUCUAGUAGUAUUAGACUCAUUAACUUGGAUACAUUGUCUUGUAAUUAACCCAAAAAUUAUAUAUAUAUCAAAAAAAAAAAUGAGAGUGAGAGAGGAAAAUAGACUACCAAGUAACAAGUGAAAAAUGGUAAUACUAGGGUUAUUUAGAGUGGUUUCAAUGCACAACCGGAAUGAAUUGUUACCUUAUCUUUAGAGUCAAAGAAGGGUUCGUGACUAGUCUUUCAACAAUACUAUUUUCAAGGUUCAAACCUGCAUUAUCCUUUAAAUACGUAAUGUAUUUUAUCAUUACGCUCAAUAUUAUUAGUGAUUUACUUUAUUCUAUUCUUAAUUAAUAAUUAUGAUAUAUAUAAAGUUUAAGAUGGAUUUUCUUAUUUAUGUAUAUCAAUUAAAUCAAAUAUUUGUAUUUAAAGUUUUAACCCAACAUUAACUUUUUUUUUAAAAAUUUCUUCGUUUGUUGGUGGUGAUUAGGAGAUUGAUGGCCGGUCUUUGUGAUUGGUAGCUUUUAACACAAUGGCGAAGCUAAGGAGGCUUUAAAUGUUUAAAUGAAUAUUUUUUUCAAUUGAAAUUUCUUUAUAAUUUAUAAAAUUUUAAAUUAAUAAUGAUAAAAUUACAUUUUAAUUUUUUAAAAAUGAUAAAAACGUGGAAGCACAUUUGUACGAUUAAUAAUAAUGAUAAUAUUUUUCCUACCACAUGGAAGUUUAUGGAAACACCAUUGGGUUUUGUAUUUAUGUUUUAUUCGACACUCUUAUAAGUUUUACUGGGGAGAUUUGUUUGAUUGUAAGUGAGGUAUUUUGCGGAGAGUGAUUUAUAAUAAUUUAAAAUUAAUAUUGGGGUUACAAAUAACUAUGGGAGUAAAGUAGUUUAGACUUUAGCUAAUAAUUGAUCAAGAUGGAUUGUAGAAUAAAAUCAUUUUCGAAGCAAAAUUUUAUAAAAUUAGUAAAUCUGAAUUAUUCUAUAAUAUUGAUAUUAUCUUUCUUCACUUUAGCCCUUGCUUCACCUUAUCUCAAAAUUAUUCUAUAAUAAUCUAUUUUGUCUCAACCUUUUCAACAGAAUUUAAAAUGAAACUAUUUCUAUGAAGUGCAAACCAAAAACUUUUUCACAUACCAAUAAAUGGCAAGCAACCAUACCGUGGGCCCAAUGUCCCAACAAUCAUCUAAACAUUUUUUUUUUCUUUUUUAAAUAAUAUGUAAUAAUUUAUAUACCAUAAAUGAAUAUUAAUUAAAAUAAUAUAAACAAAAUACGACUCUUUAAUAUAAUAUGGAUCCAAAAUGUUUCAUAUUUGAAAUGCAGUUUUUGAUAAUUUCACAUUUCAUAUUUUAUCUUAGAACAAAAAGAAAAUUUGAACUUAAUAUUUGGACUAUUGAUCAAUGGUGUUUAUUAUAUUUCAAGACUAUCAGAUUAAUCUGUCGAUACUACUUAUAUGGUAUGGUUUAAAUGGGUGUGUGUGGAUAUAGAAAUUUGAAAUUCUAUUGUAUCAAAGAAAUUUUUUUUAAAAAUAAAAUAAAAAGGAAUUUGAAAUUUAAAAUUUGAGAUCAAAAUAAAAAAAAUGAGACUUGUUAUAAACCAUAAGGCUCAAAAAAGGUUACAACAAAUAUGGUUAAUAUUAUUUUUAUAUAUACUUAAUAAAAGUUUAAAAUAUCAAAUUUGUAAUAUUAUUUUUAUUUAAUAAAAUAUAAUUAAUAUAUUUUAUAUAAAAUUUAAAUAUUUUAUUGAAAUAUUAUGUUAGGUAAAUUUUAUUAAUUUUAUUUUCUUUAUAAAUAAAAUUAAUUUUAUUAAAAUUUGAGAUAAGAUAAUUAAAUUAAUAAAAGGUAUACUUCAUAUUUUAUAGUUAUUAUAAAUAAAAAAUUAUUAUAAAAAUUAAAAAAAAAGAAUUCUACAACAUAAUGAAAUAUUUUUAUUAAAAAAAACAGAAAUGAUUGAUGGAAUAUAUUUCCAAUUUUCGACGUUCAUUAAAAAAAAAAGAGUGGUCCUAAUAAUUGAUUUAUUGGGGAAAAAAAAGUGGUCCUACUAAUUUACCUCACAUUUGAAAUGUGUUAUAUGUAAUAAUAUUAAUAUCUUUAUCAAUUUUGGAGGUUCAUCCUUUCCCAUCUCUAUAAAUUCGCAUCGAGAAAUAAAGCAAUACAUCAACGCAAUCUGUAUAACCAUGAAAACCACAACAGCUUCAGUGUUUCUUCUUUUCAUCAUCUUCUCAGUCACACCAUCAUCUUUUUUGUUUGGUGUAGCCAACGCUACAAACGAACCUGUACUCGACAUUGAUGGCAACGAGGUUCAAACAGGCACCCCAUAUUACGUUGUGUCGUCCAUAUGGGGUGCUGGUGGUGGGGGGCUUGCCCUAGGCAGGCCUAGCGGAAACCCAUGCCCGGAAGUCGUUGCUCAAAGACGAUCCGGUGACGAUGGUAUUCCGGUGAUAUUUUCUAAUUCGGACUCCAACGAUGGCGUUGUUCGCCUAUCCUCUGACAUAAACAUAGAGUUCAUUCCCCUCAGACCCAAACUUUGCCGAACAACAACGGUGUGGAAGGUCGAUGAUUACGACCAUUCAGCCGGAAAAUGGUGGGUGAUAACGGAUGGGGUUAAAGGGAACCCGGGUGCCAACACUUUGACCAGUUGGUUUAGGAUAGAGAAGGCGGGUGAUCUUGAUUACACAUUUAAGUACUGCCCUGCAGUAUGUGGAACAUGCCCAGCUUUAUGCAACAAAAUUACGAGAGACUCAGAUGGAGAAAUGGUACGUUUGGCUCUCUCCACUGGCAAUGGAUGGCCAUUUUACUUUAAGAAAGUUGGAAAAUCAGCCAUGGAGAUUCAACAAGUUGCUCGUAAUUAGAUUGAAAGCAAUCAUUAUGCAUGAACUAGUAGUUACUACAUAAUAUUAGCUUCAAGUAAAUAAUGCUGAGAGAACUUAUUGUUAAGAUUGCCUUGUUUGAAGCGGCAGCAUGUAUAUAUAUAU
rnacentral:lncRNA from 1 species